UACGAAGGGGGCUAGCGUUGCUCGGAAUCACUGGGCGUAAAGCGCACGUAGGCGGAUUGCUAAGUCGAGGGUGAAAUCCUGGAGCUCAACUCCAGAACUGCCUUUGAUACUGGCGAUCUUGAGUCCGGGGAGAGGUGAGUGGAACUGCGAGUGUAGAGGUGAAAUUCGUAGAUAUUCGCAAGAACACCAGUGGCGAAGGCGGCUCACUGGCCCGGUACUGACGCUGAGGUGCGAAAGCGUGGGGAGCAAACAGGG
rnacentral:rRNA from 1 species